rnacentral:rRNA from 1 species
AUUGAACGCUGGCGGCAUGCUUUACACAUGCAAGUCGAACGGUAACAGGCCGCAAGGUGCUGACGAGUGGCGAACGGGUGAGUAAUGCAUCGGAACGUGCCCAGUCGUGGGGGAUAACGCAGCGAAAGCUGCGCUAAUACCGCAUACGAUCUAUGGAUGAAAGCGGGGGGCCGAAAGGCCUCGUGCGAUUGGAGCGGCCGAUGUCAGAUUAGGUAGUUGGUGGGGUGAAGGCCCACCAAGCCAACGAUCUGUAGCUGGUCUGGGAGGAGGACCGUCACAAAUGGGACGGUAGCACGGCCCAGACUCCUACGGGAGGCAGCAGUGGGGAAUUUUGGACAAUGGGCGCAAGCCUGAUCCAGCAAUGCCGCGUGCAGGAAGAAGGCCUUCGGGUUGUAAACUGCUUUUGUACGGAACGAAACGGUCCGGGUUAAUACCUUGGGCUAAUGACGGUACCGUAAGAAUAAGCACCGGCUAACUACGUGCCAGCAGCCGCUGUAACAC